CACAGACUCCACUUGAUAUUGAUCAGUUGAGGAUGCUUGAUAAUAUGGAUCGGCUAGAGGUGCUGGACAAUAUGGAUCAGCUGGAGGUGCCCGAUAAUACGGAUCAGCUGGAGGGGCCCGAUAAUAAGAAUCAGCUAGAGGUGCCCUAUAAUACGGAUCAGCUGGAGGGGCCCGAUGAUAAGAAUCAGCUGGAGGGGCCCGAUAAUAAGAAUCAGCUGGAGGUGCCCGAUAAUACAGUUCAGCUGGAGGGGCCCGAUAAUAAGAAUCAGCUGGAGGUGCCUGAUAAGCCGCAUCAGCUGGAGGGGCCCGAUUAUAAGAAUCAGCUGGAGGUGCCCGAUAAGACGGAUCAGCUGGAGGUGCCUGAUAAGAUGGAUCAGCUAGAGGUGCCUGAUAAGAAGGAUCAGCUGGAGGUGCGGCUGGGGGUGCUCGAUAUGAUGGAUUGGCUGGUGGUUUCCGAUAAGAUGGAUCGGGUGGAGGUGCCCGAUAAGAUGGUUCGGCUGGAGGUGCCCGAGAAUAUGGAUCAGCUGGAGGUGCCUGGUGAUAUGAAUCAGCUGGUGGUGCCAGAUAAUACGACUUGGCUGGAGGUGCCGGAAAAUAUGACGCGACUGGAGGUACCGGGUAAUAUGGAUCAGCAGCAGGCUCAAAAGAUGAAAGCACACGUCCAGGUUCAACUGCAGGAACUACUCGGAGACGUGCAUAGGGACCGCUGGCAGAAAGAGGAACUUGAGAGAUGUAGCGCCGCUCAGGAGUUGGAGUACGUGCCAAAUAUUGUGACCCAUUU
rnacentral:lncRNA from 1 species